rnacentral:tRNA from 1 species
GCGCCUGUAGCUCAAAUUGGAAGAGCGGGGGCGUCCUAAGCCCUGCGUUGCAGGUUCGACUCCUGCCAGGCGCA